AAUGGGCGAAAGCCUGAUGCAGCAACGCCGCGUGUGUGAUGAAGGCCUUCGGGUCGUAAAGCACUUUUCUGGGAGAUGAGAAAGGACAGUAUCCCAGGAAUAAGUCUCGGCUAACUACGUGCCAGCAGCCGCGGUAAAACGUAGGAGGCGAGCGUUAUCCGGAUUCACUGGGCGUAAAGCGCGUGCAGGUGGCGCGGUAAGUUAGGCGUGAAAUCUCCCGGCUCAACUGGGGGAGGUCGUCUAAUACUACCGUGCUUGAGAGCAGAAGAGGAAGAUGGAAUUCCCGGUGUAGUGGUGAAAUGCGUAGAUAUCGGGAGGAACACCAGUGGCGAAGGCGAUCUUCUGGUCUGUUUCUGACACUCAGACGCGACAGCUAGGGUAGUAAACGGGAUUAGAGACCCCGGUAAUCCUAGCCGUAAACGAUGUGAACUUGGCGUUGGUGGGUUAAACUCCAUCAGUGCCGUAGCAAACGCGAUAAGUUCACCGCCUGGGGACUACGGCCGCAAGGUUA
rnacentral:rRNA from 1 species